GGGGACGCUUGUGCGUCAUGUGUCUUUUGACUGUUCUUGCUCAGCACCCCUUUCAGGUUUUUACUUCGCUCAUCCCAUAUCGAUUGCUGGCGACAAGACCAAUAAAUGGCCUGACAGCGCCAUGCAAACUACUGUGCAAAGAUAAUCGUGGAGCCAGUGAGUUGAAUAGACUGGACUGGUUUUUAUAUUAACAUCCAGAGACUUCUCAGACAAAUAAGUUCAAUAUUUGUUUGAAACCUGUCUGGUUGCCUUGUUGACACUUCACUUACACAUUGGAACAUUAACCCCACCAGAACAAACAAAUCCAUCAAGCAUAAUCAUGGUUCUGCUUUUAGAAAGAAAUUUAUCUGUAGGGUGAAAGUCUAACAUACUGCCGACAUUUUUAAUUUGAUCCCUGAUGAGCGUUUUCAAAAACUUGGAGCUCCAUUGUCAAAAGUUAGCUGUUUCACGCCAAAAUGACACCAUUUGAUGAUGUACUUUUUAAAAAAAAAAAAA